AUUGAACGCUGGCGGCAGGCCUAACACAUGCAAGUCGAGCGGCAGCGGGAAAGUAGCUUGCUACUUUUGCCGGCGAGCGGCGGACGGGUGAGUAAUGCCUGGGAAAUUGCCCAGUCGAGGGGGAUAACAGUUGGAAACGACUGCUAAUACCGCAUACGCCCUACGGGGGAAAGCAGGGGACCUUCGGGCCUUGCGCGAUUGGAUAUGCCCAGGUGGGAUUAGCUAGUUGGUGAGGUAAUGGCUCACCAAGGCGACGAUCCCUAGCUGGUCUGAGAGGAUGAUCAGCCACACUGGGGCUGAGACACGGUCCAGACUCCUACGGGAGGCAGCAGUGGGGAAUAUUGCACAAUGGGGGAAACCCUGAUGCAGCCAUGCCGCGUGUGUGAAGAAGGCCUUCGGGUUGUGAAGCACUUUCAGCGAGGAGGAAAGGUUGAUGCCUAAUACGUAUCAACUGUGACGUUACUCGCAGAAGAAGCACCGGCUAACUCCGUGCCAGCCGCCGCGGUAACAC
rnacentral:rRNA from 1 species